rnacentral:rRNA from 1 species
UACGUAGGGGGCGAGCGUUGUCCGGAUUUAUUGGGCGUAAAGAGCGUGUAGGCGGCCAGGUAGGUCUGCUGUGAAAACUCGAGGCUCAACCUCGAGACGUCGGCGGAAACCAUCUGGCUAGAGUCCGGAAGUGGAGAGUGGAAUUCCUGGUGUAGCGGUGAAAUGCGCAGAUAUCAGGAAGAACACCCGUGGCGAAGGCGGCUCUCUGGGACGGUACUGACGCUGAGACGCGAAAGCGUGGGGAGCGAACAGG